rnacentral:rRNA from 1 species
CAUCAUGCUUAUAGCAAUAUAAGUGAUGGCGACCGGCGCACGGGUGAGUAACACGUAUCCAACCUGCCGAUGACUCGGGGAUAACACUGAGAAAUUGGUACUAAUACCCCAUAACAUCAGGACCGGCAUCGGUUCUGGUUGAAAACUCCGGUGGUUAUGGAUGGGCAUGCGUUGUAUUAGCUGGUUGGUGAGGUAACGGCUCACCAAGGCAACGAUACAUAGGGGGACUGAGAGGUUAACCCCCACAUUGGUACUGAGACACGGACCAAACUCC